GGAAAACUGGUGGCCGUUCGCUUCAAGUUUUGUCGGGAGUUCGUUGUAGUUGUGCUCGUAUUUAAACAAUAGUUUGAAUGGGAUUAUUUUCUAAAACUCAAGUUUUUAGUGGUUUGUGAUACUAAGAUCGGAUUAAAAUGACAAAGGAUAGAUUAGCAGCUCUUGUUGCGGCCCAAAGUGAUGAUGAUGAUGUGGGCCCUGAUGAUGUUGCCGUUAAUGUCGAGGGCAGAGACGGCUUCAUGGAUGCUUUCUUCGGAGAGGUGGAAGAGAUACGUGACAUGAUAGACAAGAUACAGGCGAAUGUUGAAGAAGUCAAGAAAAAACAUAGUUCCAUUCUUUCAGCACCUCAGAGCGAUGAAAAAACGAAACAAGAGCUGGAAGACCUAAUGGCCGAUAUCAAGAAAACUGCCAAUAAAGUCCGUGCCAAGCUAAAGGUUAUAGAACAAAAUAUAGAACAAGAAGAACAAAAUAAUAAAUCAUCGGCGGAUCUGAGGAUACGAAAAACUCAACAUUCGACGUUAUCCAGAAAAUUUGUAGAAGUUAUGACUGAAUAUAAUCGAACCCAGACAGACUACAGAGAAAGAUGUAAAGGGAGGAUACAGAGGCAAUUAGAAAUCACUGGUAGGCAAACAACCAAUGAAGAAUUAGAAGAGAUGUUAGAACAAGGAAAUCCAGCAGUGUUCACCCAAGGUAUUAUAAUGGAAACGCAACAAGCAAAACAGACAUUAGCCGAUAUCGAAGCCAGACACGCCGAUAUCAUCAAGUUAGAAAAUUCAAUUAGAGAAUUGCACGACAUGUUCAUGGACAUGGCGAUGUUGGUAGAGAAUCAGGGCGAAAUGAUCGAUCGCAUCGAAUACCAUGUUGAACACGCAGUGGAUUACGUACAAACGGCCACCCAAGACACUAAAAAGGCUUUACGGUACCAAAGCCGUGCCAGACGGAAACUAAUCUACAUCAUAAUCUUCAUUAUAAUACUAAUUAUUAUUGUAGCGAUAAUAUUAAUAGUCAAACUAAAAAGAUCUUCAUCAUAAUCUGCCUCGUAGUAGCUCUCAUCAUUCUAAUAAUAAUAUUAUCGGUAACAUUGAAAUGAACACAGUUCAUAAUGUUACAAUAUAUUAAUGGUAUAAAGAAUAAUGUGCCCUUUCCUGUUUUUGUUUUGUUGUGGACUUUUGGAUUUUUUUUAACCACCACCCAGUACCAGUAGAUUGUUGCUGCCCAAACCAUCCUCAACAUUUCCAGACGACCACGUUUUUAGUUUGAAUUUAUGUUCAGUUCGUUUGAGAUUAAAAUUUUAUUCUCUAAAAUAUUUAUAUUAUACCGAUCUGUAACUAGCGUUUUUAAAAAAGUAUACAUAGAUUAUACAAAUGAAAAAAAGUGUCCCGCGAGGAUGCGAUCCUCGGGACAUGCGAAAAAUAUAAUUAAAUAGCUGAGGGUAGUGUAUUAAUAUGAAUUUAAGCAAUAAAAAUGGUUGGUAUACUGAAAUAUAGCAAGAUAGAGUGGACUUCAAGAUGAGUAGGUGCCAAAUAUUAUGUAAUAAUUUUGUCUUGGUGAAAUAUGUCUAUAACCCUCUUGAAAUACUUUUAAACACUUUUUAAAAUACAGACUUUAGAGAUUUCUGAUAUUUUGGCACUUGCUGUCUUUGAUUCUGUCCAGAUAUGUAUUACACCAUGGGGUUAAAUCACUUAAUAAUAUUAGCUAGUAUUUCGCAUUUACUGUUUGAUUUUUGUUUAAUAUUUUUUAAAUCUCUACUUUUGAUAUAAGUUUAUAUAUCUGUCUAUAUUUUAAAAUAAAUAAAAAGUUAAUAAAAAGAAAUAAAAAUUAAAAUAAUCUUUUUCUAAUUAUCUGUGGGUAUGUAGGGCCUGACUAUAUGAGAUCAAAAUAUGGGAUACAGGUGAUGCAGAAUGAAUCGCUUCUUACGGAGAGUUUAAAAAUUAUUUUUUUAGUUAACUAAAGUUGGUGAAUCAAUAAAUUAAAAAACUUUUCUUCAGAAGAUUAAAUGUUGUAAAAUAAAAAAAUAAACUGUAUAAUUAAAAGUUAAUAGAAGAGAAUAGAAUAAAUGGGUAGAAAGAAGUAAGAAAUAAUAUCAUCUACAUAAAAUGUCUAAAAUACAUAAAAUGUGUUUUACUGUUUCUUUUAACUUAAUAUUCUAACUCGAUUUCCUCUGUUUUGUAACUAAAAUGUUCAUUGGAGAGGUUUUUUGGUACCGAAAAUAUCUAUCAUAGGAUAUGAUAAUUUUUUAGCUACCUCGUACUUAGUCCAUUAUUAUUUUCUGUAGCUAUAUUAAACCGUAGAAGAUGCUCUCUGGCGGUCAUUCUGUUUACCUCUCACUGUAGACUGCUUGGAUUGGCAGAUGACCUAAGGUGUCGUCUAUGUGUUGAGGAGGGGGAAACCUUCCCACGUACUCUUAGGAAGUGCCCAGGACUGGCCCAACAAAGGUGGCAGAUCCUGGAUUCGACUUUUAUGCAACUGAGCCAAAUGAAGGAGUUACCCCAAGAGAGACUUGUGGCUUUAUGUGAGAUCACAAGCUUACUAAACUAAACGAUUACACGUUCAGAACGGCACGAAGAGCUCAGAUUUGAAGCCCCUGUUGAUUCUAGCAGAUAUGAGAGGCCGGGAUAGCCUAGGCCCAGAAGAGCCAACGACCAGAUCCUUAUUGGCGUAGUCGGUAUGAUAAGUGUGAUUUAAUGAACCCGCCUUGGGAAGUCUAAUCUGAAUGGCCCCCAAAUGAGCCCUGCCAUAAGUUACCGGAACUAUGACCAUGCAUUUCUUUGUGUGGGCUUACCUUUCUACGCACUUCUACUCAGCCUAGGAGGUCUAUUGUGGCUCAUCCCUAGAUAAAAGUUGUCCUUUCAGUCCAGCCUUUUUAAGUCUAUGUGUAUUAUAUGCUUCGGUGAUACUUCCAGGAAGUCGUAAGGUUCUAGUUGAUAAUGCUCAUGUAAUGAGCCAUAUCCUAUCCAACCCUGGGCUGUGACACAGAACGUGUUCCGCCGUUUCGUCUUUAGUCUGACAGAAUCUGGUAUGUACAAAUAUGGUUGUUGACAGUAAAUCAUGUGACAGUUUGAAACAGUUAAAACAGCAGUGAAAAGUGAGUGCUGUGUAUCACAGUACAACGAAAGAGUAAUCGUAUUCUGGUAAAGAAAGUGGUUUAUUAGUUUUCUCUUCUUUCCCAUUUUUGUUGAGGAAUUGUUCAUUGUAUGACUCUCUCUUUUAAAAGAAUGUGUUGAUAAUCGCCAUAUUUAAUGCUGUUGCUAUUUCCAGAUUAUCAACUCCAGUGUAUUCUCUCCAACAUAUCCUGUCUUGGAUUGGUUCACAUGUGCAUUAAAAUCACCUCCUAAUGUGACCCUUUCUUCUGAUGUAAUGUAACUCAGUAUGUCUCUUAAUUAUUGAUCUGAGAAAGCUUUUCUAUCAUUCUCAUCCAGGCCGACUUGGAGCAUACACAUACUCACAACAUUCAACACUUCUUUAUCAAGUAUUUUCACAGUCAUUAUUCUAUCGCUUGUUCUUUCAAUUUCUACGAUACUGUUCAUUUAUUCAUGGGAAAGUAUUCCAUUUCCAAUAACUCCAUUUCUAGUGUUAAUUUUACAUACCACACAUACAUUACCUACGUACAAUUUUUAUCCCUCACCUAGUUGUGUUGCUCUUUUUCGUUUCCACUUGGUAAUAAUUUAUACUCUCCUUCUUUUAAACGCAACUAUUAACUAAAUUCUCUUAUCUGUAAGAAUUCCUGGAUUCCAAGACCCUAUGCUGAUUUUUCUAACCUGUAAAUAGUUUUCACCCGAAAAUAGAACAGAGGCUCAAUUUGCUUGCGGAACAUUUUACUUCAGAAGAUGCCAUAAUUUUUGUUAUAUUGGAGGUUUUAUCAUUAUUAUGAUCACUAAAGCUUUGCAGACAUUAUUUGAUGUCUGAAUAUCUUUAAUAUCUUUUGUGUCUGCAUCAUGUCCUAGACGUUUGACCGAAUCUAUCUAAAGUACAGUAUUAACCAAGACACGCUUACAUUUUUCUGUAUAGACCAGGAUUCCUACUGUAAGGCCUACCUAUAGAAGCCAAUGAAUUUGCCCAUAUCCCACUACUAGGGUUUAGAGAUUGUAUAUGGGAUACAUGCAUUCUCUCUAUCUAAAUAUCUACUUUAAAUAGUCUCUUUACUAAGAAUAAAUUAGAGAAGUAAUAACAAAUAUUAGUAACUGUUAAAAUAGAAAUAUUAACGUAGAAUAGUAUAAGAAACUGAUAAAUUUAAUAAAAACCCUAAAUUACUAAAUUAGAGUGAGAUGCACAAAUAAGUGAAAGAUAAGUUUCCAAUGUUAAACUAUAUAAUAGUGUAAAAGACAGAUAAUUAGAUAAUUAUCAGAUGUGUAGUACUUACGUUUAUUCAUAUGUAGUACUUUCGAAACAUAUCUACUACAACAUGAAGCGUUGUUUUAAAGUAACGCCUAGUAUCCCUAUAUUUUAAUCUCACAAAAAUAAUAUAAGUAGUUUGUGUUUAAACAGAGUUAGAGAAUAUAUAAAAGAAUAAAUUUAUUUAUAAAAAAUAUAUUAUAAAAAGUAAGUCACAAUAUCUCGUGCAACGCGAAUAAAAUAAUUUCGUACAUUUCAUAAUUAAAGUAUGUUGAUCUUCCAUUUUGUCCUGCGUUUUAAAUACCUGUCUGUAAUUGGUACAUCAAAAAUUAGUAUUUUAGACUUUCACUUUUCAUAGUUACAUAGAGAGUUACACCAAACACAGAAUAUGAGAUUCCAGAACUAAUAGAUGCCAUUAUAUUUCGUAUGGCUGAGCCAAAGAAGUAAUGCUAGAUAGAAAAAAAGUUCAGAAUCACUACUCCUACUGUUAUCUCGAUAUAUUGUAGUUACACUAACAAUAAUAUUCUUUCAAAAUUUUCGAAAUAUCUUAAAAUUAAAAUUUAGAUCUUGAUAAAGGAAGCUGACAAUAUUUUCAAUAGCAGAUAAUACAAUUUAAAAAAGAAGAAAUCUUUUUAUACACAACACCUAUAUAAAGUCAAUUUUUGUAUACAUACUUAUAGGUAAAAUAAAAUAACCUGUAGUCAAGCUCAAAGUACGAAAGCCCUCAAUUAGAACAUAGAAAGGUAGACCUUAGAAUGCUCGUGCUCUAUGCGCACUUUCGUUAGGAAAUAAUUCAGGCGCCUGUGACCUCAGUCCACCCAAUCCCUUAGGUUCGGUUAGUUCUACUCUUCUUGCAAUCUUUCAAAUGACAUUUUCAUUUUUUCUUGUUUUCUCUCGGUUAUAGCAAGGUCUAGGUCUCUUGUCGCAUAUGGCUCGUUUUUAUUUCCACUGCCAACACAUGCGAAGGAACCAUCUAGUGAUGGCUCAUAAGCGGUCUAGGACGUUUCAUCGCCGCCAGUUCAUUGCUGGCCGAUUCAUCGCCUUCAUCGUCGGCCGAUUCAUCGCCUUCAUCGUCGGCCGAUUCAUCGCCAGUUAAUUAAUCGCUAACUGAUUUAUUUCCAAAUUUCCGACCAAUUUUCUACAGUAACAUUUAUUAUUUAUUUUUAUUAUUAAUUAGGAAUUAUAGCAAAUGACCUAAUCUAACCUAACCUGACACUACAUAAAUUUGAACAUAUUAUAUUUCUACAAAGCCAUUUAACACUACAAAUUUAAUACUAUUUAGUAUCAAAUUUAGAGGAAGUAGAAAUAGAACAACAAGUAAAUUAAUAUAAUAAUAUUUUUUAUCUUUUUAAUUGUCAUAAGUUUUGAACUGAAUUUAACGUCGUGUCGUGUCAUCUCCCAUAAUACAAAAUCAACUGACUAACUGGCGAUGAAACGGACGGCGAUGAAACGGACGGCGAUGAAAUGGCCUGGCGAUGAACUGGCGGCGAUGAACCGGCAGCGAUGAAACGUCCCAUUCCGCUCAUAAGGAUAUCACAGACACAGUCCUGCAGGCGUACACCACUCGCAGCACACUUGUUUCUGUGCAAUCGUGUCAUGAGCCUCCUGUAGGUAGCUACCGCUUUAUUCCAGUGGCACCGCGUAGAUGACAAUCAUGCACAACACUCUGUAAGGCCCUCUUCCUUUUGGAUUUGGAUCCCUCCAUGUUGGGUAUGGCCUUCUCCAGUGCAGGCGGACUAUUCGCGGCAUGCCGCACGUGCUCUUCCCACUUUCCAUUCUGGUGUAACGUCUUUCACUUUAGGUGUUUCUUGUUAGACACUCCCUCGCACAUUGUAUUCAUUUGUAGUUCCACCCUUUGCUUGUUCAUUUUACCCUUUAGAAUGAUGGCUUUGGUCUUCUCUGCUGCAAGUUACAGUCGGUACUGUGCUAUCCAUUUCUUCACGGUGCUACUGCGUUACGUACCGGGUAUUUGAGAUCUGGCUCAUCUUGUGCCACUACUAGCACAACAAGGUUAUCUGUGAAUGCGAAGGCGGUUAUACCGUCUCCGUAUUCAUAGUUCAUAACUCCGUAAUAUAGCGACGCGCCCAAGCUUCUCCUUUGUCUUUAUUACCUCGUUCCACUGCAGCGUAUUAAUUGCAUUCCUAACAUCGAACAACAGCAGGGCCGGCCAGUGGUAUUAAUUCCCUCUGUUGCGCAGUGCGUCGAAUACCCUCACGAUUACAUCAAUCGUGCUAUUCCCUUUCCAUAAACCAAAUUGAAUCGGGUAUAAGUCUCCUGAUGUCUCAAACAUGUCAUCGAUACGUCCUUGCAACAUCCUUUCAUACAGCUUACCGAUGCACGAAUGGAGGCAGAUAAAAAAGGUCUGUACUUCCAGCAGUGCAUUAAUGCACUCCAGAAGCCACACAGGCUCAGCGUCUCCUAGAUCCGUCACUCUCUCAGGCGGUAUUUGAUCCAGUCCGGGGGACUGGGUGACGUAUUCUGUCUGAUUAGAUUAUCUAAUUGUCGACCUUUUAUGCCAAGUUUUUCGGCGUAUUUCUAGUAGUGACUAGAUUAGCAAAUAUCAACAUCGGUAGACUGACCAUACCCUCCGAUCAUUUCCUUCUUAAGGUUGAUUUAUCUUACACCGAGACUCGGGACGUGGACGCGGCACGGCGCAUAGAACAAUAGAAAUCGCACGUCCUCGGCACUUCCUAGUGUCCCUCCGUUCCGUCGUAUGAUUAACCAGCCAAUACUUUUCAUAUUAGACGAUUCUUCAACCUGCCCCGUCCCGUUCACGUCCCCGUUGUAACAUAAAUUCGGCGUUACUGUUGCAUAUUUGACUUUCGUGCCUCAACUUAGAUUUGUUGUAAAAUACAAGUUUAAUAACAGAAUAAAUCAACCAAUUAGAAAUAUAUCUAUAACUGAUAACAAUUUUUUUUUAUAUAAAUCUUGUAAUAAAAUAAUAAUGUACAAAGUUUGUUCUAAAUCUUGUUCUAUUGAUUUGGUGAAACUCUCUCUAGAAAGUAUUUUUCUAAAUUUUCAUCGAUCGUAUACUUUAUGAUUGCUUAGAAAAAAAAUUAUACAUUUUGGUAUUGUGUGCAAUAUUCUAAUAAAUGUAAAUAUCCAAUAAAUAUCGGUUAGUUACCAAAAUGUAUGCAAUUUUUAUGAAUUAAUCGAAGCUGGAAGAUUUAGAAGGCAUGGCUUGAUACCGAUGUACAUUUUAUAUCCUUUAUCGAAAAAAAAUACGCAUAUAUUUAUAUAGCAUAAGUAUUUAUAACUAUUAGUUUAUACGCAGUCAAAUAGAAAACAACAAAAAGACAAAUUUUAAAUGAAAAAUCUUUUCUGUUCCAUAUAAAUACAUUAUCAAAUUCUAAUUAUUUUUAUUUCAUUGUGUUUUAUUUUCCUGUUGAUUAUCGAAUCAUGUCACAAAUCUAUGAAAUUGGGUAUCUCAACUCCACUGAAAUACACCACAGUCUUAUUUCAAUGAUUCUCGUCUUUUCUUUUCUCUUUUUGGUGACUUAUGAAGAUAUUUUCUUAAAUUGCAUUCUGUUAACAUCUUUUUCUUGUAGCGCCUAUCCGUUUCGGAUGUUAGCAACCAUCAUGGCAAUCUGUAUUUUGCAGACUUCUGCUCUGAAAAGAUUUGUGGUGGUUGUGUUAAACCACAUACGUAGAUUUUUCAGCCAAGAAACUCUUCGCCUUCCUGGUCCACGUUUUUCUUCUACUUUUAGCUGUAAACUUAAUUUCAGCAAUCCAUAUCUUCCGUUGUUCCUCAUGAUGUGACGGAGGUAUUCGAUUUUGGCUAUUUUCACUGUAGUUAACAGCUCUUUUUCUUUUUGCAUUCAUAAUAAGACGUUCUAAUAAGUAACGUGGUCGAUAUAAGAUUCCUGCAGGAUUCGACGACAAAGCCACAUUUCGACAGCCUCAAUUUUCUUGCAGGUGUCAUCUGUGAAGUCCACUACUCAGCUCCUUACAAUAGUAUAGGUAGUAACAACAUCGUAGUAACCUGAUUGUUAUGGGUAUUGAUGAAUCAUGACAUUUGAAUAGCUUGGCCGUUUUUUGAAAUGCAGAUCUCUA